rnacentral:rRNA from 1 species
GAAAAGCUUGCUUUUCAAAACUUAGCGGCGGACGGGUGAGUAACACGUGGGCAACCUGCCCUUGAGACGGGGAUAACUCCGGGAAACCGGAGCUAAUACCGGAUAACACAUAUCUUCGCAUGAGGAUAUGUUAGAAGGUGGCUUUUAGCUACCACUCAAGGAUGGGCCCGCGGCGCAUUAGCUAGUUGGUGAGGUAACGGCUCACCAAGGCGACGAUGCGUAGCCGACCUGAGAGGGUGAUCGGCCACACUGGGACUGAGACACGGCCCAGACUCCUACGGGAGGCAGCAGUAGGGAAUCUUCCGCAAUGGACGAAAGUCUGACGGAGCAACGCCGCGUGAGUGAUGAAGGUUUUCGGAUCGUAAAGCUCUGUUGUUAGGGAAGAACAAGUACCUGUUAAAUAAGCAGGUACCUUGACGGUACCUAACCAGAAAGCCACGGCUAACUACGUGCCAGCAGCCGCGGUAAUACGUAGGUGGCAAGCGUUGUCCGGAAUUAUUGGGCGUAAAGCGCGCGCAGGCGGUUCCUUAAGUCUGAUGUGAAAGCCCACGGCUCAACCGUGGAGGGUCAUUGGAAACUGGGGAACUUGAGUGCAGAAGAGGAGAGCGGAAUUCCACGUGUAGCGGUGAAAUGCGUAGAGAUGUGGAGGAACACCAGUGGCGAAGGCGGCUCUCUGGUCUGUAACUGACGCUGAGGCGCGAAAGC